GGUAAAGCUACUAAGGGCGUACGGGGGAUGCCUAGGCACAUGGAGGCGAUGAAGGACGUGAUAAGCUGCGAUAAGCCUCGGGUAGGUGCAAAUAACCUUAGAUCCGGGGAUUUCCGAAUGGGGCAACCCAUCUCGAUUAAUCUCGAGAUACUACCACCUGAAUACAUAGGGUGGAUAGAGUUAACGGAGUGAACUGACACAUCUAAGUAACUCCAGGAAUAGAAAAUAAAAAUGAUUCCCUCAGUAGUGGCGAGCGAACAGGGAAGAGCCUAAACCAUUGACGUGGCAAGCUUGCAGGCUUUGCGCCAGUGGUGUUGUGGGAUCAAUUCUGAACCAGCUGCAACAGGUUCGGUGAGUCAAAAAAUCGAUGGUUAGGUGAACGGUCUGGAAAGUCCGGUCAUAGAAGGUGAUAACCCUGUAACCCAAAACCUGAGAUCUCGCUCGAAUUGACACCCAAGUAGCGCGGGACACGAGAAAUCUUGUGUGAAUCUGCCGGGACCAUCCGGUAAGGCUAAAUACUGCCAUGUGACCGAUAGUGUACUAGUACCGUGAGGGAAAGGUGAAAAGUACCCCUAACGGGGAGUGAAAUAGAACCUGAAACCGUAUGCCUACAAGCGGUCGGAGUCCCGAUUCGUCGGGAUGACGGCGUGCCUUUUGCAUAAUGAGCCAGCGAGUUGCUCGUACGUUGCUAGGUUAAGAAUGGACAUUCGGAGCCGAAGCGAAAGCAAGUCUGAACAGGGCGUUCAGUAGCGUGCGGCAGACCCGAAACUGAGUGAUCUAGCCAUGACCAGGAUGAAGUCCCGGUAACACGGGAUGGAGGUCCGAACCCACUUCGGUUGAAAACGGAGGGGAUGAGUUGUGGUUAGGGGUGAAAGGCCAAUCAAACUCAGAGAUAUCUGGUUCUCGCCGAAAUGCCUUUAGGGGCAGCGUUGUAUUAGUGUACCGGGGGUAGAGCACUGAAUGGGCUAGGGGGCCUACAAGCUUACCAACCCCAAUCAAACUCCGAAUACCGGAUACAUGAUGUACAGCAGUGAGGCUGCGGGCGAUAAGGUUCGUAGCC
rnacentral:rRNA from 1 species